ensembl:lncRNA
CCCCUCUCCUGGCAGUUGAUGGGUGGAUGUUACUACCCGGUCCAGGGUGGGGUGGAGGGGGUAUGGAUGGAGGGUUACAUGGGGCCAGAUAGAGGAGGCAGUGUGCGUCAGCGUCGAGUGAGAGAUGGAGAACUGAGUCUGCAAAGUGUUGGCAGUGAUGGUGGACCAAGUGAGGGAGGACAGGAGAUGAAUGGCUAGACAGCGGCACGGCCCAAAACGUCGCCAUCGCAGGAAUAAACAGGUUGUAUGUUAUUGCUUUUAAAUGACCAGACCACAGCCACAGAGGAAUAAUAGAUUUCCAUUGCGGGCGUCCCAAAAUGAUCCAGCGUGGAAUCUUAAUUUGAACGAUAGCGAAAGCAAACAGAAGCAGUGCUGUAUCAAUGCUAAGCCUUAAUGAUUCUUCCAGCCAUAGGAUGGGGGUGAGUUGGGGGUCACUGGGAAUAUCUUGUAUCUAGGUCCCGUCAUGUUAAAUGAUUGUAUUGGCCCCGUUUAGAUGGCUGUUUGUUGGAAUGGCGGAGGAAUAAGUAAUACUCUCAACUGCCUUCCGGACAUACAGUAUGUAUCCACAGGUAAACCUGAGAUACCAGGACAAUCUGUCAAAACAUGUCAUCUGCUUUUAUCCUCCCUCAAGCUAAAAUAAUAGAUCUUCUACUUUAGUACAUUAUUAUUUUAAGUUAAGGGGGCCAUGAAGUCAAACAUAUUCAAACAUAUGUUAAAUCUCUAAUUUUUACUUCUGUUUUGCCUUUUUUUCCUCAGUUCUUCUUUCAAUGUUAAAGUCCUUCCACUUCCAUUUGUGGUUUGUAGAAUGCCUGAUUGAAAAAACCAACUUCAUCUCCGAAUCAACUAGGAUCUAGGUCUAUGGCCUAGGAUUGAGCUCUAUUCUCAUUCAGCUAGGUUACAUAACUUAUACCGUCAUAAGUUGUUCUUGGCAUGGAAUGGGACAUGGCGAAUGGACCAAAGGUUCAUGGUUGAACAUCUCGUUCCCAUGUCCAGAACCCAAAGAGGAAGUGCUGCUGCAUGGUCCGGUCUUGGCAUUAGGGGACACCGGCGUCUGUUUGGACUACCGUGAUCGGCAGUGCCAGCUGUUUUCAUCAUCUGGAGAGGAUGCUAACUGGGACAGUCUACGUCCUCCAGUCAGAGGGGGAGAAAGCAUCCCUCAGAUGACAAGCAGGGAUGGAUAAGCCAUCUCUGCUGUCUGCAUCCCCCCCCCCCGCUAAUCCUCUCCACCCCGACCACUAUCUCACAGGGAUGAUGUGUUCAUGGGACAGUAGAGAUUUGUCGGAGGUCUGGUCUCUGGUCUGCAGGGCUCACCCAGUUUCAAAGCUAUAGGUCGCUGAAGGGGAUACAACCAAUAGAAGUGUGGGACCCUAACACCCCAUUACCCUCAGUGGCCGAUGCCCCAACAUUACUACUCCCACGUAUCUGACCCAUUUCAUCUGGAGAGACCCUAUACACCCAGAACGUCUAGACCACAGCUCUUCAUUUAACGGGGCUGCUAGCUAUUCUAAUAUAUAUCCCCCUGUUUUCAGGUUCUAAGUAUCCAUUUCGCUUUUGAUGCAGUCAUUUGAGAUCCCAUUUGUCACCCACUAUUGAUGUGAGGCAACUAUGAUCUGGAUAAUGACCAUGAUAAUGUUAUAUUAGAUUACAUUGAUUUAUACUGGCAUUGAGAUGGUAAAUUGCAAACUAUAAAUUUACUUUAUUGAAUCUAAACCUCUUUACUUGCAUUUAUAGUCCUUUGAGCCCAUGUUAUUGUCAAAGGAG